rnacentral:rRNA from 1 species
UACGGGGGGUGCGAGCGUUGUCCGGAAUCACUGGGCGUAAAGGGCGCGUAGGUGGUUUGAUAAGGGUGUGGUGAAAGUCCGGGGCUCAACCCCGGAUCUGCCGUGCCGACUGUCAAACUCGAGGACUGUAGAGGCAGACGGAAUUCCGGGUGUAGCGGUGGAAUGCGUAGAGAUCCGGAGGAAGACCGGUGGCGAAGGCGGUCUGAGCUGGG